rnacentral:pre_miRNA from 1 species
CUAGUAGUCCCUCCGUCCGGAAAUACUUGUCGAAGGAAUGGACAUGUCUAGACGUAUUUUAGUGUCAGAUACAUCCAUUUUUAGUCAUUUUUAUGAAAAGUAUUUUCGGACGGAGGGAGUUUAAA